GCACCCGUGGUGAAAUUGGCAACCACGAUGGACUUAAAAUCCAUUCCCGGUAACGGGUUGCGAGUCCGAGUCUCGCCGGGUGCA
rnacentral:tRNA from 1 species